rnacentral:lncRNA from 1 species
AAGUGCCAUAUAAAGUAACACUCACAGAUUCUGGAGAGUUGGACAUGGACGUCUGGGGCUGUUGGUCACCCUAUCACCCUUACAUAGCUGAUCAUCAAUCCCAGAUCUGUCUGACUUCAGAAGCAAACUGCUGACCUUCAGGCGGUAGUGUUUGCACACAGGCAUUUCUCUUCCCUGUCUGGCUAGAGUCCCUAGCGUGUGGCUGUGUGCUCAGUCUCCUCAUGUAGUGCUUUCCCUUGGGCUUCAGAGCAUUCUCAUGCAGUCGGGACUAAAGACCCACAUGUGGCUCCUGCGCCAACCCAUUUUCCUUCCAUAUCUACCCUGAGGAUAGUGCCGAUGGCUCCGGCUCACUCUGACUUCUCCCUUAGUUCCUUAUCUACCACUUGAUGAUUUUGUGAUUGUUUUGUCCCUUUCCCCUACUUUCUCCCCCUCCCCCUCUCACUCCCUCUCUCCACCUCCUCUCUCUCUCCUUCCUUCCUUUGUAACUCAGAUAUCACGGACUUGUAGUACUUGCAGGCACAGACUAGUCUCUUCAUUCCACAGAUUGUGAAACUGAGGCUCAGAGAGAGGAAGUGAGCAGACACAGAGACACACUGUGUUUGGGAUACAGCCAGGAAGAGAACCCAAAAUACGGUUCCAAGUUUAGGGAUUGACUACAAAAACCUGACAUUAUCUUUUAAAAUUUUUUUUUAAAUUAUUAAUAGACUUUAUUUUUCAGAGGAAAAAGAACAACUUGGAAAAACAGUUAAAAUAUCCAAACCCAUCCUUGAGUUCCUCAAAGUAACCCGUAGGUGACGGUAGGAUUAGUAUCCUUAUGAGAAGAAACAGCAGCAAGCCAGCAAGCUCUCUUUGCAGCACAUCCACCAAGGAAGGCCAUGUGAGGAGACCAGGAAGUUGACCUUGCCCUAUGUCUGGGGCCCCAUCCCUCAGCUGGGGUCAUUGGAUUGGGCUCUACGUUGGUAGGAGGACAGGAAGGAGAGAUGGUUCCAGGGCUACUUUCCCUCUUUCUCAGGAGCUCCAGAAACAAUCCUGGCAUUAACUGCCAUUGCUAGAUUGGGACACACGUGCAUGCCUGAACCAGUGAUAGCAACUCCGAUGGUCCAGGAUUAGGUUAUCUGUUGACUCCUGGAGCCAGGGACAGAGUCAGCCUCACCAGAAUCAUGUACAUGGCGGGUGGCAGAAGUGGCUUUCCAAAGGAAAAUUAGGGAACAAUUACCAGAAGAAGGGAGCUUGGAUGCUGGGCAGCAGAAACAGAUGUUCAUCACGUAGGAGAAAUAAAACUUGAACAUUAGGAGCUGUAAUGCAAGGGACGGUGUGGUAAGACCUCUCCACUGACCAGAGCCAAGCACGCUAAAAUAACAGGGAUGCAGCACUGGAAGUUAAUUUGGUGACAGUCAUCAGAAUUUUAAAAAAGCACAUCCCCUUUCACUCAGCAAUUCCAUUUCUAGGAAUCCAUCCUAUAGAGACAUUUGCCCUGCUGUACACGAGGGUGUUUACUGCAGUGUUAUCCACACCAGCAAAAGAUUAGAGACAACCUGCAUGUACAUGGAGGGGAUAAUGACUAAAUAAAUUACUGUAAGUCCAUUGAGUUACUGCAGCUGUUAAAGAGACUCAAAUACAUCGGGGUAUACUGAUGUGGAGGCAUGUUCAGUAUAUUUUGUUGUGAAUUAUGAAAUUCUCAACACACUAAGCAUAAUAUCUCAUUUUUCUAAAAAUAAGAAAGAAACCACACAGAGAUACAACCGCCAACAAAUACCCACACAUAGAAAGCACGCACACAUACAUACAUGCUGCUAUGAUCUGAAUGUUUGUGUCCCCCCAGAUUCAUAUGUUGAAAUCCUAAUGCCUAAAGUGAUGGUAUUAGGAGGCGGGGCCUUUGGGAGGUGCUGAGGUCAUGAGGGUGGAGCCUCAUGAAUGGGAUUAGUGCCCUUAUAAAAGAUGCUCGAGAGCUCCCUCGCCCCUUCCACCACGUGAUGACACAAUGAGAAGUCUGUGACUUGGAGGAGGACCCUCACCCAACCAUGCUGCUACCCUGAUCUUGGACUUCCAGCCUCCCAGAACUGUGAGACAUAAAUUUCUGUUGUUUUUAAGCUGUCCAGUCAGUCUGUGGUAUUUUGUUAUAGCAGCGUGAAUGGACUAAGACACACACAUAUUAUAUCCAUGUUUGUAUCUAUGUUUGAAAAAGUUCUGAAAGAAUUUGCAAUAUUUCCUCUUACCUUGUAGGAGUCUAAGUGGAGACCUAUGAGUGGAAGCAGGGGGGGAAUUUCAUGUUUUAAUUUCAAUGCUUUGAUUUUUAAAGACACAUACACUAUUUUUGCAACAAAAGUCAAAAUUUUAAAAAGAGUAUGUGAAGAAUACAGGGGGAUCUGAUAAAGUGCCAGAAGAAAAAGAGAAAGGUAAGAAGUAUGUCUGUGGCUCAUGACCCCUCCCAGGAGGAGACAGCACUCUCUGGGAGGAGAGGGGCUGCGUGUUGAUCAUCUUUGCAUUCCUCUUCAUUCUUAGCACCGUGUCAGGCAUGCAGUAGGUGCCUCUGCUGCACUCAGUCCCCUCCCUGAUAUUACUGUCAGGGACUGGCUCUCUCCCGACUUCUGGAAGGAGAAAUUCAAGUAUUGAAGUCUGGUUGCAAGUGCCAACCUCCCAUCCACUCACACAGACACAUGGAAGGAAGCAGUUCCAAAAAAUCCCCCCACAUCAAGGUCAACUGCCAGGAUUUAGGUUGUGGUCAACCUGUUUGGUUGGCUAUAGUUCUCUGCUAUAAAUUCAGGAAAGAACAUGCUACAGAACUGGGGACAAUUUUCUUCCUCAAAUUUAACUUCUUUUCCCCUCUACCUGCUCAUGAGUCCCUGUUCAAAGGGAGGAUUAUUAAGGCAGAAAAAAAGAGGGAGCCAACUGGGGCCAAAGAAAGAGAUCUAGUAGCUAAUGGAGUAUUUACCCAGACAGGGUGCUCCUGUGGGUACAGGACUCUGCAGUUCCCCAGGACUUAACCCACCCAGAAGCCCACUGAUAUUAACAACAAACCUGGGAGGAAGAAGGGAAGGGAUUAUAGUCCCCUGUUACAGAUGAGGAACUUGAGGCCAGAGAGGUUUGAUAACAUGAGCAUGGGUGGUUGUGGACAACUAGAAAAUCCUCAUUCCCAAGAUUUCAGUGUCCCAUUCACAAAAGUCUGAUUCUAGGUCAGCCCUGCCCUCCCUCUUGGCUUUAGC